GUAAGUUUAGCGCUUUCAUGAUCUAAUCACUUUUCAAAGACCACCCCCGCUGAACGCUGCUGCACCGGAGGCCAAUCCUUGACCACAUGAGCUUUUGGGGAAUGUUUCACAUCCAAACCCUAAAUACACAGCACUGGAGUAAAAACUGUCCAUUACAGCAAUCACUGUUUGUAGGAAAUUCCCACACUUUGGUAAACAACAUGCUCGGGAGCUCAGGGCUGCCCAGGAAGCUAACUAACUGUGCUUUCCAUAGCACAUUUCACAUUCUCACAGCUUCUACUUCUAUCCCAGAGGACCAGGCAGGCUGUAGGGUGUUGGGGUCAGAGGAAGUGGCACUAAUGGAGACAUUGAGGUAAACAUCCCAUUCUCCAGGGUAGCCCUAACAGCCUAAAGAAUACCCAUACUUGCAAAGGAGUUUGGAGUUUUAAUAUAACAGUUCUGGCCAUAUUAAUUUAUAAAUCUGUAUCAGUUAGGAUUUGCUAGAGGAACAGGUUUACUAUAAAACAUAUAUAUAUGAUAUAGAAAGCAUUCACAGUGUAGGCUUACAAUGACUGCCUGUAAAGUCAGUGUGGAAGAAUGCAAAAAGGCUAUCUGCAGGCUGGAAAGCCAGAGGAUCCGAUCAAAAGCCAAAGGCCUGGCUCUCACUGUAGAGUCCUGUGUGAGCCGGUAUCAAGAAGCUGAAGUGUCUGGAGUGGAAGGCUGAAGAGUCUGUGGUGAUUGGAAGCCUAGAGAUGGGUGUCGAAAGGUGCUGGCGAAGCCUGGAGCUCCUCCAAAGAAGCAGAAGCAAGACUUCUUUCUUUGCCUUUUCAUUCUAUCCAGGCUACAAGUCUACACACACUCAGAUACAAGGCUACAAGGCUACAAGUCUACACACACUCAGAUUGGAUCUUUCCUCUUUGGUAAGUCCAGCAUCCAGACACAUCUAGAACUGUGCUAAAUGAGUCAGGUAGGCAUUCUUUAUUCAAGUUGACACCAUGGUUAACUAUCACAAGGCUGUAAUACAGGUCUCAGGUGAUCUGAGACAUUAUAUAGCCUGAGAUAAUCAGAGAAUCAGAAGACCUUUCAAAUAUUUCAUCUAAGGGGGAGGAAAGGGCCGGGGAUAUAGCUCAGCAGUAUAAGUGCCUGCCUGGCACACGCAAGGUCCUGAGUUCAAUUCCUGGUGCCAAAAAAAACCAAAAAAACAAAAAACCAAAAAACCAAAAAGAAAAGCUUAAGCUAAAGGGGAGGAAAGAGGUGAUGCAAAAGAGGAUUUAAAUGGUAGAGUGAGGGAAUGCAUCUUAGAGGUAUGGUGUUUGUUCAGCAUGUAUGAGGUCCUUGGUUCAAUCUCCAGCACUAAGCAAACAAAACAAAACAAAGCAAGACAUGUAAUAUAACAACCACUGUUAAUUCCUACCAUCUUGUUUUGAAAUCCUGUAUUAUUUUUAUUGGUUUUGUGUUGUUUUGUUUUUGCUUUGUUGUUAUUUUGUUGUUUUUUUCUCUUUAAAACAAUAACAACAAAAAACCAAGACAAAACAAAACAAAACACCCAAAUGGUCAAUUGGAGAUUUAGAAUAAGUUGUUUUCCCUUUGCUCUCUAGGAGUCCAGGUUGUUCAAUGUGAUCAUUCAGUUAAUAUUACUGUCUACUUAGAUCAUCUCAAUCCAGGCUAGGUCUCACCCUUUAAGCCGUGACAACCACAUCUUCUUGUCUUCUGGUGGACAUGCUCUGCUACUGCCAGAAAAAUCUACCUGAUCCCUGAACUUCGCACUGCUACCUGACUCUCAGGUCAGCUUGUCUCAGUCUUUAGAGAGAAAGUCAGAUCCUUCAGAUGGGAGGAAACACUCCAUUUCUUCUGUAUUGCCAGAUGGAGCUUAGAACUAUAUUUAGAGAAUUAAUUGUAAAUUAAUAAAUAUGUUGCAAGUAUAUAAUGGAUGUUUCCACUGUUUAAAAACAGCAUAUUCUUUUAAGCAGGUAGACUAUUUCCUCUGUAAUCUUAUUUUCUAUAUUAGGCUAUCAUCACAUUUUCACAUAAUGUAAAAAGAAACUUUUAACUCAAUUUGAAUUUUAGGAGCUUAUUCUAUUCCUGUUAAAAAUCUAUUAGCAGAUCCAAAGUCAAAUUUUAAUUUAUGUGUAUUGUAUUCUAUAAAAUAUGUCUACAAGAUUACCAUUUUUUAAAGAUUACUAUAUAUAUAAUAUUUCACAAUAUUUGAAAUGGGGCAUUUCACAUCUUUGCCAUUACCCUCAGAGAGGCUUUCUAGGCCCAGUUCUCUUAUUCUAUCUAAUUACAACUUCAUUUUAAAAGCAGCCGGGAGCGUAUAUGCUCUGAGCAUUUAAAAAUGUUACAUUUAAUGUAUCUAAUGAGUUUUUAAUUCCAGUAUAACUGACAAAAAUAAUUGAAAAACAGAAUUGCUAAUGGAAGUACGCUUCUCUAUGAAAGUAAUUUACAUUACCAUAAAAGAACUCUAAGUUCAUUAUAGAAAAUUUGAAAAUCACAGGAAAGCAUAAAGAAUAAAAUAAAAAUCAGAUAUAAUCAUACCACUACUUCUAACCCAUUCUUGAGAUUUUCCAGUCUUUUCUAUUUUUCACAGUUGGUAAAAUAAUGCACAUACUUUGUAAAACCCUGCUAUUUUCCCCACUGAACAUUAAAUUGAAGCCAUAUUUUUUCCUUUGCUGUAUAGUAAUCUCCAGCAACGUAGUUUGGAAGACUGAAUUGUAUUCUAUUAUAUUAUAAUGUGUCAUAAUUUACUAUAUUAUAAUGUAUUUGUGUAUAAUACCAUAGAGAAAUAUAUAGUCUCAUUCUAUUACAAUUUAGGAAUUCUCAGCAUCCUUAUAUUUAGAAAUGUAAAAAUUUGGUAUGUAGUUUCUAGCAUGUAUUCAAGUUUGGUCUUUUAAUCCCACCGUCAAUAAUCCUAAUUUAGUUUUGCCAAAAUGCAUUUACUUUGUAGUCUGUAUACAAUUGCAGUCCUUUAAAUUUGGCAAAAAGAAAAAGGCACUAAAUUGUUUAGGCUUCUGAAGUUGCAGUCUCUACCCGUGGCCUUUCAUUUCUGCUUUCACUUCCGUCUUUAUCCUUCGUUAGACAGCCAUUUACUCCUCCCUCUGUUUUCCUUCAAUAUGAAGUUUGCUUCCACUGGAUCUCUUCCUCCUAGUUGCUCAUUACAGAAAACACAGAUAACACACAGAAGGCUUGCAUUUGCCUGUGAAUUAAGAGUGGAACUAUCUAUCAUCAUACUGAAGUAUAAAGUCAGAGCGCCAGGUUUUAAAUUUAUCCAAUGAAAUUGUCAGUGGUCUGAAGCUUGCCAAGUCUGUAUGACUAACACUUUCUUUUGCUGAAGAUAGGUCUUUAAGGAAAGGCAAACAUAAAUUUACUUAAUAGGAAUGAAAUCAGAGCAAGAGGUUUGGGAUUUGACCUCUGGAGUGCUCAGUGGUACAGGCUAAGGUAGCCUGAUAUGUGCAUCCUUAUAAUUAAGGUUUAGGGUGGAGUUAGGGUUAGGCUAAGAAAUCCAUCAAGGAAAUGAGCACCAUCUUCACACCCGCCCUGUGAGACAGCCCGCUGACCUCUUUGAUACAUCUCCAUGGUGUGCUUUCCUUUUCUUUCUUGUUUUUCUCUUUUCUUUUCUUUUUUUUUUUGUCUUUUUGAGACAGGGUCUCACUAUGCAGUUCAGACUGGCCUUGAGCUCACUUUGUAGCCCAGGCUGGUCUUGAACACACAAAGAUUCUCCUGCCUCAGCCUCCCUAGUGCUGGGAUUACAGGUGUGCACCACUACGCCCAGCUUUUUUUUCUUUUUUUCUGUACCAGGAAUCGAACUCACAACCUUGCACUUUCCAGGCAGGUGCUGUGCUGCUGAGCUAUAUCCCCGGCCCUUGUGCCUUUCUUUUUAAAAGUUCUGCAUUGGCAACUUGCUUCUUUUUUCACUCUCCUUCCUGGUUGUCCAUGAUCUCUGCUGUCCUGAUCCUCCUCCAAAGUCUUAUUAUUCUUUUUCUGUCUUUCCUCUGAAUUUUAGUCCUGGAUCUCUGAAGAAGCAGGUUUAUAUAAUUUCUUGGGGUAGCUGCUGAUGUAGGUCACUGAUGGCAUCCAGAUCAAUGGCAACAUGACGCUUCUUACCUCCCUAGUGGGUGGGUGGGACCAUGUGAUGGCUUUUGUUCUUUAAUUUAUGAACAGAAGUAAUGCCUGCCGUUUCUAGGUUAGAACAUUUAACUGCCAUUACAAGACUCUCUUUUAUUUUGCUACAGAGAGUGAUGCUCCAUGUGGGUGUUUGCUCAUAAACCCGAAUCACAGAGUGAGAGAGAUGCUGAGGAGAUAAUUCCUGGUCACUUCUUGACAGAAUGGAUGAGAAAUCAACGUUCGAUGUAUGAAGUCACUGAUAUUUGGGGAAUCUUUGUUAUUACAGUACAGCCUAACUCUACCCUGAUUGAAAUAGUUUUUUAUUUUUUAUUUUUAACUCACCUUGUCCCUUGAUGGGUUUGGCUUUAUAUUUAUACUCCAAUCAAAUGAAUUCCAAGCUAAGAGGCUAAACCAGAUUGAUCUUCUGAGCUCAGGCCUCAGUUUACUGAUUACCCUGUCAUAGCUUCAGUUCCCAUAAGAACUUCAGUCUGAUUGCUCUGCAAGGUACCUCAGAUUGACCCUAUCCCCAAUCUUAUCAUCUCUCCCUUGACUGCUUCUGCUUUUCUGUUGCCAUUCAGUUAAUGGCACUAUUUCCCCCGAUUACCUUAGCAUUUUAACUCUGGAAAUGUACAAAUAUCCUCCUCAUGGGCCGGUCUUACUGGUGGCAAGGUUCUGAAAGCAGAAAGCGCAAGUCCAAACAUAAAGUCCAGCAACCAGAGGCUGGAUGGAGUUGUAGCCAUUGGAGUCCCACAGGAUCUUCACUCUUCAAUUCUUCUUGACAUUGAAGAGUUAGGCUCACUUUUCACGUGGACUGACUUUUCUUCUCCAUUGGUUUGCUGAAAGUAAAAACAAUCAUCUUCCCUAUCAACCACCUAAAAAGAGCCCUCCCCCUGCCAUUAAAAGGUCAUUUGUAGCAAAGGAUGACCGUCAAGCAUUCGGUCUGCUGCAGGCUCCAUGAACUGUGGUAGGGCUCUCUGGGCUUCACUUUCUUGUCUCCAUUACAUAGUUGUUGAAGAGCUGGCAUCUAGCCCCUAAAUGCAGCCAAGAAAGGGAAAUCAAGGCUGAUGUUGCAAUGGUGAGGUAAUAUCAAAUCUAUGGUCCCUG
ensembl:lincRNA